AGAGUUUGAUCAUGGCUCAGGAUGAACGCUGGCGGCGUGCUUAACACAUGCAAGUCGAACGAUGAUCCCUGGCUUGCUGGGGGGAUCAGUGGCGAACGGGUGAGUAACACGUGAGUAACCUGCCCUUGACUCUGGGAUAAGCCUGGGAAACUGGGUCUAAUACCGGAUAUGACUCCUCAUCGCAUGGUGGGGGGUGGAAAGCUUUUGUGGUUUUGGAUGGACUCGCGGCCUAUCAGCUUGUUGGUGGGGUAAUGGCCUACCAAGGCGACGACGGGUAGCCGGCCUGAGAGGGUGACCGGCCACACUGGGACUGAGACACGGCCCAGACUCCUACGGGAGGCAGCAGUGGGGAAUAUUGCACAAUGGGCGCAAGCCUGAUGCAGCGACGCCGCGUGAGGGAUGACGGCCUUCGGGUUGUAAACCUCUUUCAGUAGGGAAGAAGCCUUUCGGGGUGACGGUACUUGCAGAAGAAGCGCCGGCUAACUACGUGCCAGCAGCCGCGGUAAUACGUAGGGCGCAAGCGUUAUCCGGAAUUAUUGGGCGUAAAGAGCUCGUAGGCGGUUUGUCGCGUCUGCUGUGAAAGACCGGGGCUCAACUCCGGUUCUGCAGUGGGUACGGGCAGACUAGAGUGCAGUAGGGGAGACUGGAAUUCCUGGUGUAGCGGUGAAAUGCGCAGAUAUCAGGAGGAACACCGAUGGCGAAGGCAGGUCUCUGGGCUGUAACUGACGCUGAGGAGCGAAAGCAUGGGGAGCGAACAGGAUUAGAUACCCUGGUAGUCCAUGCCGUAAACGUUGGGCACUAGGUGUGGGGGACAUUCCACGUUUUCCGCGCCGUAGCUAACGCAUUAAGUGCCCCGCCUGGGGAGUACGGCCGCAAGGCUAAAACUCAAAGGAAUUGACGGGGGCCCGCACAAGCGGCGGAGCAUGCGGAUUAAUUCGAUGCAACGCGAAGAACCUUACCAAGGCUUGACAUGA
rnacentral:rRNA from 1 species